GCCCGAUGGAGGGGGAUAACUACUGGAAACGGUAGCUAAUACCGCAUAACGUCGCAAGACCAAAGUGGGGGACCUUCGGGCCUCACACCAUCGGAUGUGCCCAGAUGGGAUUAGCUAGUAGGUGGGGUAAUGGCUCACCUAGGCGACGAUCCCUAGCUGGUCUGAGAGGAUGACCAGCCACACUGGAACUGAGACACGGUCCAGACUCCUACGGGAGGCAGCAGUGGGGAAUAUUGCACAAUGGGCGCAAGCCUGAUGCAGCCAUGCCGCGUGUAUGAAGAAGGCCUUCGGGUUGUAAAGUACUUUCAGCGGGGAGGAAGGCGGUGAGGUUAAUAACCUCGCCGAUUGACGUUACCCGCAGAAGAAGCACCGGCUAACUCCGUGCCAGCAGCCGCGGUAAUACGGAGGGUGCAAGCGUUAAUCGGAAUUACUGGGCGUAAAGCGCACGCAGGCGGUCUGUUAAGUCAGAUGUGAAAUCCCCGGGCUUAACCUGGGAACUGCAUUUGAAACUGGCAGGCUUGAGUCUCGUAGAGGGGGGUA
rnacentral:rRNA from 1 species